GUUUUGAGUGACUCUAAAUUUAUAAAAUAAAAUGGAUAAUAAUUUUUGGAGAAUUUUGUAAGUUUGGCAAUAGAUCUAUAGGUGAAAUUUAUAAUAAUUUUUAGGUAAAUAUGUGUUCAAUAUGUACUACAAGUUUGAGCUUGAUGAAAUGGUUGAAUUGACAAUUAUUGAAUUUCAAGUAUGUUGAGGUCUCAAAAAUUAAACUUUGAGAGGCAAUUAGAGCUUCUAAGAUCUUUAGCAAUCUACUAGUUGGAUUGGAGUAAAAUAUAUUUGUGAAGGUUGUAGACUUGAUUUGCUAGACAUAUAUGAAAUUUAAAAUUAUCAAAUGGUUUAAAAAGGAGAUUUUUGUAUUGAGAUUUCAUCAUUUAUGUUUGAGUAGGAGAAUGACUAACACUUAGGUAGAUUUUAGGAUUGAUUUUUUUUUUUGGUGAGUUUGAUCUUAUUCAAUUUUUUUAUCUUGUUGUCAACUUAAUUUUUAAGAGGUAUGCAAAAUUUGAGUUAAAAUUAAUGGUUCAUUCAUUAGUUAUUGAGGUUUAAAUCUAUUAUAGAAAUUACUUAAAAUUUAUUAGGAUUUGGCUAUGUUUGUUUAGAGUUUGACUAGGAUUUGUUUAGGAUUUGACUAGGAUUUAUUUAAGAUUUGACUAGGAUUUACUUAAGAUUUAUUUAAGAUUUGAUCAGGAUUUAUUUAAGAUUUGAUUAGGAUGUGGUUAAGAUUUGUUUAAGAUUUGAUUAAGAUUCAUUUAGGAUUUGAUAAGGAUUUUUCUAGAAUUUGGUUAGGUUUUAUUUAAGAUUCAAUUAGAAUUUAUUUAAGGUUUGAUUAAGAUUUGAUUAGAAUUUUUCUAAGAUUUUACUAAGACUUAUUUAGGAUUUGACUAGGAUUUAUUUAGGAUUUGAUUAAGAUUUGAUUAGAAUUUGUAAAGGAUUUGAUUAGGAUUGAAUUAAGAUUUGAUUAGGAUUUUUUUAGGAUUUGGAUAUGAUUUUAUUUAAGAUUUGAUUAGAGUUUAUUUAGAGUUUGAUAAUAAUAGAUAUAAUUAAAUUUGAUUAUAAUUAAAGAUAAGAAAAUAAUUAUAGACUUAUUGUUGUAAUUUAGACUUAUUGUUGUAAUUAACUCUAAAUAAUUAAAGACUUAUUGUUGUAAUUUUCCUUUUAUCUUCCACAACCAUAUGCUCAGUGUAUUUUCAACCAAACUUCACAUAAUACAAUAACGUACUUUGUUUGUCUAUCAAUGUGAAGAUGAAAGCCAAAGAUAGCUUUAUAUUCACAUUUAAAAUCUUAAAAAAUAUUCUUCAAAAAAUUGAAAUAAAUUAAGCUCCCAUAUUUGAUAUAAUAUCCUUGGACAAUCCAUGAUAGCAAUGGAUAUUGUUAAGAAUAAUCUUAGAUAUUUUUUUUACCAAUAAUAGAUUUUUUAUAUGAUACAAAAUAUCAUAUUAUUAUAAAAUAAUCUAC
rnacentral:lncRNA from 1 species